AGAUGUAAACGGUGAUUGCACAAACAGCGAUGGAUCGACGUGCUCAGGAACAGAUUGUUGUUACAACGGUACCAAUGGCUUAUCACCGGUCCUGGGUUCUGGAGGUGGCAUAACCCCAAUAUAUCCAUGCUAUACCAGUGGAUCUGGAGUGACCUAUACCUGUACUGGUGAUCUGAGGGGACCACCUUACAACACUUGCAACGGUGGGACCUGGCUAUUUGGGUUCGCACCGACAUGUGAAGGUA